rnacentral:rRNA from 1 species
GAUGAACGCUCGCUGUGUGCCUAAUACAUGCAUGUUGAACGGGAUGUAGCAAUACAUUCAGUAGCGAAUGGGUGAGUAACACGUACCUAACCUACCUUUAAGACUGGGAUAACUAUUGGAAACAAUAGCUAAUACCGGAUAUAGUUAUUUAUCGCAUGAUGAGUAAUAGAAAGGAGCUUCACAGCUUCACUUAAAAAUGGGGGUGCGGAACAUUAGUUAGUUGGUAGGGUAAUGGCCUACCAAGACGAUGAUGUUUAGCCGGGCCGAGAGGCUGUACGGCCACACUGGGACUGAGAUACGGCCCAGACUCCUACGGGAGGCAGCAGUAAGGAAUUUUCCACAAUGAGCGAAAGCUUGAUGGAGCGAUACAGCGUGCAGGAUGAAGUUCUUCGGAAUGUAAACUGCUGUUAUAAGGGAAGAAAAAAUAGAAUAGGAAAUGAUUUUAUCUUGACGGGGUACCUUAUUAGAAAGCGACGGCAAACUAUGUGCCAGCAGCCGCGGUAAUACAUAGGUCGCAAGCGUUAUCCGGAAUUAUUGGGCGUAAAGCGUCCGUAGGUUUUUGCUAAGUCUGGAGUUAAAUGCUGAAGCUCAACUUCAGUCCGCUUUGGAUACUGGCAAAAUAGAAUUAUAAAGAGGUUAGCGGAAUUCCUAGUGAAGCGGUGGAAUGCGUAGAUAUUAGGAAGAACACCAAUAGGCGAAGGCAGCUAACUGGUUAUAUAUUGACACUAAGGGACGAAAGCGUGGGGAGCAAGCAGG